rnacentral:lncRNA from 1 species
GGGACAUCAAAGGUGUUAGUGUCCAGAGGAUGACGCAGGGAGAAGGUGGCCAUUUGUGAACCAAGAAGAAGGACAACAGAAGACAGCAACCCUGCUGGUACCUUGAUCUUGGAUUUCCAACCUUGAGGAACUGUGAAAAAAUACAUUUCCGUGGUAUAAGCCACCUAGGCUGUGGUACUUGGUUACAUCGGCCCCGACAGACGAAUUGCAUGGUGGUGGUGUUGGCAGUGACACAAAUGAACCAUAGGAUUUCGAUUAAACCUUGUUCUGAGACCUUCCCACUUCGCUGUCCAUACUUCGCCAUCUGUAUAAGGAUCCCGAGCACUCUAUGAAGAUCACUGUUUACUUUUUGGAGCCCCAACUCAGACAAUAAAAUCCGUCGGGGCGAAGGCUGCUCUGUCCCCGCGGUACCCACAGAACUUGGAGCUCAGCAGAUCGUAAAAUAAAUGCUGCCUGCUCGGGACAGAGCAGCUCAAUUCUACACCCUGGCGGCCAGCUCCGAGAUGUGGCGUAGGGGUGCGGCCGGCCAGGCAGGCAGCCAGCAGAACUCCUGACCCAGGACGGGCUCCGCAAGUGCCCGGCGCCCACUCGGACCCACGCGGCGCGAGAGGCCCGGACUUCAG